rnacentral:rRNA from 1 species
AGAGUUUGAUCCUGGCUCAGAUUGAACGCUGGCGGUAUGCUUAACACAUGCAAGUCGAACGGUAACAGGCAGAGCUUGCUCUGUGCUGACGAGUGGCGGACGGGUGCGUAACGCGUGGGAAUCUACCUUUUAGUGGGGGGGGGAUAGCCCGGUGAAAACCGGAUUAAUACCGCAUAAGCCCUACGGGGGAAAAGGGGCCUCUUCUUGAAAGCUCUUGCUAUUAGAUGAGCCCGCGUAAGAUUAGCUAGUUGGUGAGGUAAUGGCUCACCAAGGCAACGAUCUUUAGCUGGUCUGAGAGGAUGAUCAGCCACACUGGGACUGAGACACGGCCCAGACUCCUACGGGAGGCAGCAGUGGGGAAUAUUGGACAAUGGGCGGAAGCCUGAUCCAGCAAUACCGCGUGUGUGAAGAAGGCCUGAGGGUUGUAAAGCACUUUCAAUAGCGACGAAAUGCCUUAGCUUAAUACGCUAGGGUCUUGACUUAAACUAUAGAAGAAGCACCGGCUAACUCUGUGCCAGCAGCCGCGGUAAUACAGAGGGUGCAAGCGUUAAUCGGAAUUACUGGGCGUAAAGCGUGCGUAGGUGGUUUGUUAAGCAAGAUGUGAAAGCCCCGGGCUCAACCUGGGAACUGCAUUUUGAACUGGCAGGCUAGAGUUUUGUAGAGGGAAGUGGAAUUCCGGGUGUAGCGGUGAAAUGCGUAGAUAUCCGGAGGAACACCAGUGGCGAAGGCGGCUUCCUGGACCAACACUGACACUGAGGUGCGAAAGCGUGGGGAGCGAACAGGAUUAGAUACCCUGGUAGUCCACGCCGUAAACGAUGAGAACUAGAUGUUGGGGGGCACCCUUUAGUCUCGAAGCUAACGCGUUAAGUUCUCCGCCUGGGGAGUACGGCCGCAAGGUUAAAACUCAAAUGAAUUGACGGGGGCCCGCACAAGCGGUGGAGCAUGUGGUUUAAUUCGAUGCAACGCGAAAAACCUUACCUACUCUUGACAUCCUCGGAACUUGUCAGAAAUGACUUGGUGCCUUCGGGAGCCGAGUGACAGGUGCUGCAUGGCUGUCGUCAUCUCGUGUCGUGAGAUGUUGGGUUAAGUCCCGCAACGAGCGCAACCCUUAUCUUUAGUUGCCAGCACGUAAUGGUGGGAACUCUAAGGAGACUGCCGGUGAUAAACCGGAGGAAGGUGGGGACGACGUCAAGUCAUCAUGGCCCUUAUGAGUAGGGCUACACACGUGCUACAAUGGUCGGUACAGAGGGUUGCCAAACCGCGAGGUGGAGCGAAUCCCUUAAAGCCGAUCGUAGUCCGGAUCGGAGUCUGCAACUCGACUCCGUGAAGUCGGAAUCGCUAGUAAUCGCGAAUCAGCAUGUCGCGGUGAAUACGUUCCCGGGCCUUGUACACACCGCCCGUCACACCAUGGGAGUGGGCUGCAACAGAAGCCAGUAGACUAACUUUCGAGAGGUCGCUGUCCACGGUAUGAUUCAUGACUGGGGUUAAGUCAUAACAAGGUAGCCGUA